rnacentral:lncRNA from 1 species
GUUCAAAAAUCUCUUAUGAUUUUCAAUCUUUCUAUUAACCAGAAGUCAUUGCAAUAAUUUGCAUAAACUUUCAAUAUCCAAUAUCUAGGUAGUAGUGUCACAGAUAGAGAAAUCACAAGAUGUUAUCAUAUAAGUAUCUUGUCCAGCAAUUCUUUACUGAUUUCUCUUCCUUAGCCUGUUCGGAUCAAAAGACUCUGCCAAACUAGGUUAAUCUUAAACUCUUUUAUCAGUUUGGACUCAUUAGCCCAAGCACGACUCUUUGCACCUUCUUUUUCUUUUUUUUUCUCAAAAAAUUAUUACCACACUGAAGACACAUCUUCAGAGGUGUGAAAGAACUCCUUCAAUAUUUGAAAAAUUUUUUCUCACUGAGCAUCAUCGAAUUUACAACUAAAUUAUGUUCUUUGCUGCUCUCAAUAACACCACACGAUGAUAUGAUCAUGUGGUCAUUUUUGAUAAGUAUCUUUGAUCGCAUCACAUGUGUUGGAUGUAAGAACUUCAGGUGCUGGAUCUAUAAUCAUAUGUAGGAUCCUUUCAUGUUCUAGAACUAUUCAUAACUUUUUAUAUCAAUUAUCGUAGUUAGAUCCUAUAAAUCAGUCACUGUCAAACAGUGAAUGGAGCAGAGAACAUCUAGCCAUAACUGAAAGAAAAAUACAAGACCUCUAUGUUUAUGAAUUGAUUAAGCCUAAAGACUCGGACUUUCGUCUAAAGGUUCUCCUACUAUUUUAGUCAAAUUG